rnacentral:rRNA from 1 species
ACGCUGGCUACAGGCUUAACACAUGCAAGUCGAGGGGAAACGGCGUUGAGUGCUCGCACUCUUCGGACGUCGACCGGCGCACGGGUGAGUAACGCGUAUCCAACCUUCCCGUCACUGCGGGAUAACCUGCCGAAAGGCAGACUAAUACCGCAUGGCCUUCACUGACGGCAUCAGAGGUGAAGUAAAGCUUUUUAGCGGUGACGGACGGGGAUGCGUCUGAUUAGCUGGUUGGCGGGGCGACGGCCCACCAAGGCAACGAUCAGUAGGGGUUCUGAGAGGAAGGUCCCCCACAUUGGAACUGAGACACGGUCCAAACUCCUACGGGAGGCAGCAGUGAGGAAUAUUGGUCAAUGGGCGGAAGCCUGAACCAGCCAAGUAGCGUGCAGGAUGACGGCCCUACGGGUUGUAAACUGCUUUUAUGCGGGGAUAAAGUGAGGGACGCGUCCCUUUUUGCAGGUACCGCAUGAAUAAGGACCGGCUAAUUCCGUGCCAGCAGCCGCGGUAAUACGGAAGGUCCGGGCGUUAUCCGGAUUUAUUGGGUUUAAAGGGAGCGUAGGCCGGGGAUUAAGUGUGUUGUGAAAUGUAGGCGCUCAACGUCUGAUGUGCAGCGCAUACUGGUUCCCUUGAGUACGCGCAACGCCGGCGGAAUUCGUCGUGUAGCGGUGAAAUGCUUAGAUAUGACGAAGAACCCCGAUUGCGAAGGCAGCCGGCGGGAGCGCAACUGACGCUGAAGCUCGAAGGUGCGGGUAUCGAACAGGAUUAGAUACCCUGGUAGUCCGCACGGUAAACGAUGGAUGCCCGCUCUCGGCGCCUGGCGCCGGGGGCCAAGCGAAAGCGUUAAGCAUCCCACCUGGGGAGUACGCCGGCAACGGUGAAACUCAAAGGAAUUGACGGGGGCCCGCACAAGCGG